UACAGAGGUCUCAAGCGUUGUUCGGAUUCAUUGGGCGUAAAGGGUGCGUAGGCGGCGCGGUAAGUCGGGUGUGAAAUCUCGGAGCUUAACUCCGAACGGCCAAGUGAUACUGCAGUGCUAGAGUGUGGAAGGGGCAAUCGGAAUUCUUGGUGUAGCGGUGAAAUGCGUAGAUAUCAAGAGGAACACCCGAGGUGAAGACGGGUUGCUGGGCCAACACUGACGCUGAUGCGCGAAAGCCAGGGGAGCAAACGGG
rnacentral:rRNA from 1 species